CACGUAGGGGGCAAGCGUUGUCCGGAUUUAUUGGGCGUAAAGAGCUCGUAGGCGGCUCAGUUAGUCGGGUGUGAAACCCCCGGGCUCAACCCGGGGACGCCACCCGAUACUGCUGUGGCUAGAGUCCGGUAGGGGAGCGUGGAAUUCCUGGUGUAGCGGUGAAAUGCGCAGAUAUCAGGAGGAGCACCAGCGGCGAAGGCGGCGCUCUGGGCCGGAACUGACGCUGAGGAGCGAAAGCGUGGGGAGCGAACAGG
rnacentral:rRNA from 1 species